rnacentral:rRNA from 1 species
AAUAUGGGACAAGGGGCGAAAGCCUGAUCCAGCCAUGCCGCGUGUGUGAAGAUGGUCNNNGGAUUNUCAAGCCCUUUAAGUUGNGAANAAUGGGUUGCAGCUAAUACCUUCACUCUUUGACGUUACCAACAGUAUACGAACCGGCUAACUCUGCUCCUUCAGCCGCGGUAAUACAGAGGGUGCAAGCGUUAAUCGGAAUUACUGGGCGUAACGCGCGCGUAGGUGGUUCAGUAAGAUGGAAGUGAAAUCCCCGGGCUUAACCUAGGAACUGCUUUCAGAACUGCUGAGCUAGAGUACGGUAGAGGGUAGUGGAAUUUCCUGUGUAGCGGUGAAAUGCGUAGAUAUAGGAAGGAACACCAGUGGCGAAGGCGACUACCUGGACUGAUACUGACACUGAGGUGCGAAAGCGUGGGUAGCAAACAGG